rnacentral:rRNA from 1 species
UACAGAGAGUGCAAGCGUUAAUCGGAAUUACUGGGCGUAAAGCGCACGUAGGUGGAUGCUUAAGUCGGAUGUGAAAUCCCCGAGCUUAACUUGGGAAUGGCAUUCGAUACUGGGCGUCUAGAGUAUGGUAGAGGGAAGUGGAAUUUCUGGUGUAGCGGUGAAGUGCGUAGAUAUCAGGAGGAACAUCAGUGGCGAAAGCAGCUUCCUGGGCCAAUAUUGACACUUAGGUGCGAAAGCGUGGGGAGCAAACAGG